AGACCCCCCCAGCAAGAUUCCAAGAUCCAAGAAGUCCAUUUGUGUUUACAGCCAUCACAAACAAGGCUCUGGCAUUUUUAUGUGGUGAAUGACUACAAGCUAAAAGUCAAGUGAGAAAGGCACUGGUGGAGAAAUGAAACACAGACUCAAUAAAAUAGGGCCCAUUAAAAGUGUGACCGUCAUUACAAUGGACCACAGCUAGGGGUGUGGACAAUGACCUUCUGAAGACCCGGAAAAUACUAAGCUGUCAAGAGGAUCUGAUGUCUCGGAACUCUGGUUAAACAGAAGACUGGGCAGUUAGUUAUGGCUGCAUGAAUGGUGCCUCUUCAGAAGUCCGCAGAAGGAUAGCCAUUCUACUAGGAAAGAUGGAGUCUGUGUUCUCUGCAAAGACAGUUCCUGCCGAGGUCAGCUUGGGCUUCAGAGUCAGGCCAUCCAAGUUCUCUUAGCCCACAGGCUCAGUCUUGACAGUGUCCUACCGUACCUGAGAGUCUGGGGGCUGAGAGAGAAGAAGAGUCACUUUGCUUUUAUCACCAAGACCCACAGAUCACAGCCAGUGGUCUCACCGUUUGUGGUGGUUUCUCCCCAGGGUCCUGACGGGUUGGUAUUCUGGAAGCAACAUUUUGGAAGGCCAAGGACAUGUCAGCUCUUAGGACUGCACGGAAGAGAGUCAGUCCUUGUUAUCACCAUUGGAUCCCAGCGGCUCUUUCAUCUCAGACUUGUGAAAGCAGCUUCUCCUCCUGAGUUCUGCCCCAGUUUCUUAAUGGGCCAAGGAAGGGAGAUGUUGAUGGAACUCACAGAUGUGGUUAGACCUCCCCAGCAGCAGUCUGGUCAGAGGUCAGCUGGUCUCUUUCCAGUAACAGGUGGCCCUUGGCCUCUAUUUCUCAAGAGAGCUUGA
rnacentral:lncRNA from 1 species